CUCUUGUGUCACUUCCUAUUGUGAGUCGUAGGUUAAAAUCAUUUUAUUUUGCAAAACGUGUCACAGGAGCAGUCACAUGAGUCUGGUGUCUGGAUCCUAGGCGGAAGGAAGCAGAUGGGGUGGUUGGUAUCUGGGCCUCUCCUCCAGGCCUCAAAGCCCCCGAUUCCCCCUGUUUACCCACCAACAUCCUGCACAAACAGGCUUCAGAUACAGACAACACUAAGCUAACCACCCUUCAGCUCCAGCUUGAGACAAGAGUAAAGCAGUUUUCAGACAUGACCUCUCAAGGA